GCGAGCCUUGUGCGGUGAAAGUCGCUCGCAGGGUUCUUCGGGGGCCGUGUUCCCGAGAGGGAGUGCGGCCACCCUCU
rnacentral:ncRNA from 1 species